rnacentral:ribozyme from 1 species
CCCUCAAAAUGGAAUCAAGAAAAGAAGUAGGGGGAAAAAGUAGUUUAACCAAUAAUAUAUUAAUAAUGUUUUUUUUUUUUUU